rnacentral:rRNA from 1 species
AUGGCAGUCACGGGUAACGAGAAUUAGGUUCGAUUCCGGAGAGGGAGCCUGAGAAACGGCUACCACAUCUACGGAAGGCAGCAGGCGCGUAAAUUACCCAAUCCUGAUUCAGGGAGGUAGUGACAAGAAAUAACAACUCGGGGCCUCACGGCUUACGAGAUUGCAAUGAGAACAAUUUAAAUCUCUUAGCGAGGAACAAUUGGAGGGCAAGUCUGGUGCCAGCAGCCGCGGUAAUUCCAGCUCCAAUAGCGUAUAUUAAAGUUGUUGCAGUUAAAAAGCUCGUAGUUGAAUUUCUGAUUAUGGAUGUAGCGGUUUCCGUUACAUUUGUAGUCAUCCACAUGAGAACCUUUCUCGGCCUUCACUGGUCGGUUGGGGGAUCAUGUACUUUACUUUGAAAAAAUCAGAGUGUUUCAGGCAGGCGUUUGCAUGAAUACACAAGCAUGGAAUAAUGGAAUAGGACUAGGG